GUAUUUAGAUCGGUCACCGAUAGAGAAUUGCAGGAUGCUCAUAAUUUGCUAUGGUAUAGAUUUGCGAGUGAGCGGAUACAUAGAUAGAGUGUCAUUGAUACCUGAUCAGAAGAUUGAAGGAAUUUAAAUUGUAAUUAUGGCAUGUCUUAAAGAGUGUGCGGUUAUCACAUAUUCGAUCCGGAUAUUAGGUUCAGUGCGUGACAAAGAGACUCGUGAAUGGUUUUGCAAAACACAUGACAAUUAUAGCUAGCAGUCGGUUGUGAAACAUUUGUUGUUCAGAUAAGCUUGAUCAUUGUUAAACUCGAUAACUAGAAAACAUUGCUUGCAAAGAAC